rnacentral:rRNA from 1 species
AUUGAACGCUGGCGGCAUGCUUUACACAUGCAAGUCGAACGGUAACAGGCCUUCGGGUGCUGACGAGUGGCGAACGGGUGAGUAAUGCAUCGGAACGUGCCCAAUCGUGGGGGAUAACGUAGCGAAAGUUACGCUAAUACCGCAUAAGCCCUGAGGGGGAAAGUGGGGGACCGCAAGGCCUCACGCGAAUGGAGCGGCCGAUGUCAGAUUAGCUAGUUGGUGGGGUAAAGGCCCACCAAGGCGACGAUCUGUAGCGGGUCUGAGAGGAUGAUCCGCCACACUGGGACUGAGACACGGCCCAGACUCCUACGGGAGGCAGCAGUGGGGAAUUUUGGACAAUGGGCGCAAGCCUGAUCCAGCCAUGCCGCGUGCGGGACGAAGGCCUCGGUUGUAAACCGCCUUUCAGCCGGAAAGAAAUACGCCGUUUUAACUAACUAGACGGUGGAUGAC